ACUCUUAAGGCAUUGACACCUGUCAAAAAAUCAGUUGAAACCAGUGCUAGGGUUGACCCGGUGGGUCCAUAUCCAGGUACAUAUAGUUCCAGGAAGGUCAGACCCUCUGGUCAGUACAGAGAAACUUGGUAAGAAGACUAACAGAGGGGAUGUAUUCUGUUAAUGGAGUUCCAGUAAUUUGUCAUUGAAAACCUACGUGCCCUAACCUCCAAACAAGAGACGCCAUUGAAGGAUCUUACAGAACUUGAUCGAUGAAGGUCAACAAAACUGACGCGGGCUGUCUGUAUUUUAUAAUGAUUCUUCUGGACUCUUGUAUUCAAGUUUUCUGUACAGUACCAUCCUGCCACCGCAUAUACAACAAACACUUGACUAACAGUCCGUGAAAUGACGAGGGAUGUUUCCGUGAUAGCUGAUAAGAAAACGGAAUCGUCUAACUUUCUACACAGAUUAAUCUACUCGUGCAUUGGAUUAAAACAUUAAAUCUGUUUAAUGACUCGGUGUCACGAAAAGUUAAUAACAUUAUUGGUUACUCUUGGAGGACUUACGACCCAUGGGUCAUGAUCGAAAAAAAGUGCCAAUCGUUGUUGACGUUAUAGCAUACAUAAAUCCUAAAUUUAUCAAAGCAGCUAUGUAAUGUAAUAUAAAUGCAUAAUAAAAUGAAU